rnacentral:rRNA from 1 species
UAAUACGGAGGAUGCGAGCGUUAUCCGGAUUUAUUGGGUUUAAAGGGUGCGUAGGCUGUCAGAUAAGUCAGCGGUGAAAUACCUGGGCUCAACUCAGGGGCUGCCGUUGAUACUGUCUGGCUGGAAUAUGGUUGCUGUCGGCGGAAUGUGUAGUGUAGCGGUGAAAUGCAUAGAUAUUACACAGAACACCAAUUGCGAAGGCAGCUGACAAAACCAUUAUUGACGCUGAUGCACGAAAGUGUGGGGAUCAAACAGG